UACUUAUUUUUUUGUUAAAAAAAAAAAAAUUAAAAGGGGUAGAUCUGGCAACGGCCAAUUGUGAAAAAAAAAACUCGGUUUUUCCUUUCUCAAGCCUCCUGUAUACUCCCUCCUGUUCUUCGUUCUUCUUCAAUUCAUUAAAAAACAUUGACGCGCGUUUUCCCUCCCCCCUUCUUCAUUCAGCAACUCCCCUCUUUGUUCCUCCAUUGAAGUGCUGCGAGCUUUCUCACCUCCGUUGAAGACAAUACUCGCGUCGUACUCCGGCAAUAACUCCCUCCAUUGAAACAUCUUCAACCGAAGAAGAUAAUUUUGUAGAAGAAAUGGGCCGAAGGCUCUGAAACCAACUCCAGUUAUAGUCCGAUGCAAAAAUAUGAUGUUUUGUUUGAGAGGAAUGGAAAACAAGGGAGCUUUUACCUCCAAUCGAAGUUUUGCAAGGGGCAAACAGGACAGCCAUACACGAGCGAGGAACUCCAUGUAAUUCGAGAGAUGUUGGCGACCUACAUCACAUUUAAUUUGUAAAUAUCGUUUACUAGCUAGCUACUUCAUCAAUUCUAGCCUUAGCUUACUAAUUAUGUACUAUACAUUAUUAUAACUAAUUAAAAUUGUUUGUAGGUAACAUGACACAUUUUUCUAAUUAAUAUCAUCU